CCCCAAUUGUGUUUCCCCCAGUAACAGACAGUCCAAGUCUGGAUCCAAAAGAAUGUUAACAAUAGCAAUCUCUGCAUCUGGAACAAAAGAGAUUAUCCAAGAAGAUGGCCCAGAGUUGUUAGAUUAAUUUACUCAAGAACUGCAAAAGAAAAUAUUUAGGGGAAAUUCUGUGAAUUUCAAAUAGGCAAAAUAUAUAACGUUGAGGAUUUUCACUCUGCUGUAUAACACAUUUUUGCAAAGCGUUUGCCAAUGAUAGAUUUCCAAGCUAUCAAAAGCACAUUAAUUUUUCUGAUUAAAACAGCUGUGAAAAUAUACAAGUAUAACUGUGAAAAAUCCAGGGCUUAUUGUAAUACUUUAAGCAAAACAAGGAUGAAAGAUCUUUAAAUACUGACUUGCCAAAAGUAAAAUAUUUAACACCACGAGAACUAAUUCUACCCGUGUUUCUAAUAUUUUGGCAUAAAUACUUUAAUCCUCUUGUCCAUCCAGUUUGCACCUCAUCUGGAUUUGACUUGUUAAGGGUUAGUUCUUUUGUAAUGUCUUCAGCACCUCUCCAUGGUUAUUGAUUGUGCUCUCAUUAAAACGGCAAGAUCAUAAAGCAGUCCCAGAACUGGCAGAGGAAGGAGGCAGUCAAGGAGGAAUAGCCCCUCACUCCUAAGGUGCUCUGUAAAGCAAAGAGAAGGGCGGUAAGAUAUUACACACUUGUCUACCUAUUGCUGAACGGGUACAAGCAGGCACACAGACGCCCAGAGAGAGUUCCAUAUUUCCUGUCUUAUUUCCAUUACUUGGAAAAGAAAUCCCUUUCGGUGGAACAUGUGUCGACUUCAUCCUGCUUCUCCUUCUCUCAUCCCUGAUUUCUGCUUGGCUGAUAAUGACUUCCUUGUCUCCUUGGCCUCUUCAUUCCCUAAUCUGUUGUCGAGAAAGAAGCGCUGGUAUGAAUAAAGUCAUUAUGUAAUUGAGGGAUAAAGGGAAAAAGAGACCCUCGUAUUUGGACAAAACGAGUCCAGGAGAAUCGCCCAAAAUUCCUUCCCCAGAACUCUGAAAACGGCAUGAAAAUGGGGUGGGGGGAGGGGAUGUACAAAAACCUCGCUGCCUUUUCUCCACCUUUGCUGUAGGCUGCAAAUACAGUCAGGAUUGGGAAGUAAGCCAGCACUGACCCUCUGCUGGUUCAGUUUCAAAUAGGAGUUCUGGGAUUUGAGGGCCACGGGUCAGACAGUAAGAGAGCCAAGUACUAC
rnacentral:lncRNA from 1 species